rnacentral:rRNA from 1 species
AUUGAACGCUGGCUGCAGGCCUAACACAUGCAAGUCGAACGAGUGGCGGACGGGUGAGUAAUGUCUGGGCAACUGCCUGAUGGAGGGGGCUAACUACUGGAAACGGUAGCUAAUACCGCAUCCCCUCAGCUUUGCACAGAUGGGAUUAGCUUGUUGGGGGGGUACCGGCUCACCAAGGCGACGAUCCCUAGCUGGUCUGAGAGGAUGACAAGCCACACUGGAGCUGAGACACGGUCCAGACUCCUACGGGAGGCAGCAGUGGGGAAGAUUGCACAAUGGGCGCAAGCCUGAUGCAGCCAUGCCGCGUGUAUGAAGAAGGCCUUCGGGUUGUAAAGUACUUUCAGCGGGGAGGCGUUACCCGCAGAAGAAGCACCGGCUAACUCCGUGCCAGCAGCCGCGGUAAUAC